AACGAGAUUCCCACUGUCCCUAACUACUAUCUAGCGAAACCACAGCCAAGGGAACGGGCUUGGCAAAAUCAGCGGGGAAAGAAGACCCUGUUGAGCUUGACUCUAGUCUGACUUUGUGAAGAGACAUGAGAGGUGUAGCAUAAGUGGGAGCCAAGGGAUCAAUCUUGGCUGUUACUUCGGUGGCAGUUAAGACCCCUUGGCUACAGUGAAAUACCACUACUCUCAUAGUUUCUUUACUUACACGGUUAAAGGGAAGUUGGGAUAGUGUCUCUCUCACUUGGGUUUACCUCAGGGUUCGGGAAGGCCUCCUAUCCUUAAAUUCUAGAGCAAAGUGUGGGUACUUUCAUCAAUGCUCAAGACCCUAUGACUUGUCUUGUUCUUAACGGGACUUGAUGAGACUUAGACUUGAGUUGGAAAGGUAACGUGGGUGUACCGUAAAGAAACUUGUUUCUGGUGCAUACUACAAUCUGCAUGAUCCUCACCGUGGACAUUGUCAGGCGGGGAGUUUGACUGGGGCGGUACAUCUGUCAAAAGGUAACGCAGGUGUCCUAAGGC
rnacentral:rRNA from 1 species